rnacentral:lncRNA from 1 species
CUUACAUACUGCAUUAUGAUUCCCUUACUGACUGCAAAGUGAAGGCCUCCUAGUCCUAGGGCAUGACUCACCAUUUUUCAAUUAUAAUGAAGAAAGGUCUUGUUUGUUGCAGGCAUGUUUCAAGCAGUUGGCUGGUGGGACUUUGAGAGAUGCUGCCGCCCGUGAUGUGGUGGAGUUAUCAUGAUCAACCACUCCGUUCGGAUUUCAACCAGUGGCCAUGAGCUUUGUCUGAUAGACCACAGCAGGAGUUGGAUUUUUAAAAAGGAGCAAACCAGGUAAAUGAAAAUCAUCAAAUCUGCAACCUGGGGAUGGUUCAAUGGAUAAGAAAGCUUGCAGUGGGAACAAGAGGACCUGGAUUCAAAUUGCCAGCACCCACUAUACCACUCCCACUAUUCCUUCUACACAGUUCUUUUAAGAGACAAGCAACACACAGGACAUAUACCUAUGAAGAUCCACUUUGA